rnacentral:rRNA from 1 species
UACGGAGGGUGCAAGCGUUAUCCGGAUUCACUGGGUUUAAAGGGUGCGUAGGCGGAUCUGUAAGUCCGUGGUGAAAUCUCCAAGCUUAACUUGGAAACUGCCAUGGAUACUAUAGAUCUUGAAUGUUGUGGAGGUUAGCGGAAUAUGUCAUGUAGCGGUGAAAUGCUUAGAUAUGACAUAGAACACCGAUUGCGAAGGCAGCUGGCUACACAACUAUUGACGCUGAGGCACGAAAGCGUGGGGAUCAAACAGG